rnacentral:misc_RNA from 1 species
GAUCUCUCAAAGGAUUGGUUCAUCCAUCCUUUGGAUUUUGGGUCUUGCCGUGAAUUGCUUCUUGGCUUACCUUGAAAAUAUUAGCAAGCUUUGUUUGGGUCAUUUCUAAUGAGGCGUUUUAAUGUUUAUUCCAAUUGACGACUCUCAAUACCCAUUACUUGCUUCCAAUCAUCCCAUUGAAGGGAUAUUAUAAUAAAUCAA